CCGGUAAACGGCGGCCGUAACUAUAACGGUCCUAAGGUAGCGAAAUUCCUUGUCGGGUAAGUUCCGACCUGCACGAAUGGCGUAAUGAUGGCCAGGCUGUCUCCACCCGAGACUCAGUGAAAUUGAACUCGCUGUGAAGAUGCAGUGUACCCGCGGCAAGACGGAAAGACCCCGUGAACCUUUACUAUAGCUUGACACUGAACAUUGAGCCUUGAUGUGUAGGAUAGGUGGGAGGCUUUGAAGUGUGGACGCCAGUCUGCAUGGAGCCGACCUUGAAAUACCACCCUUUAAUGUUUGAUGUUCUAACGUUGGCCCCUAAUCGGGGUUGCGGACAGUGUCUGGUGGGUAGUUUGACUGGGGCGGUCUCCUCCUAAAGAGUAACGGAGGAGCACGAAGGUUGGCUAAUCCUGGUCGGACAUCAGGAGGUUAGUGCAAUGGCAUAAGCCAGCUUGACUGCGAGCGUGACGGCGCGAGCAGGUGCGAAAGCAGGUCAUAGUGAUCCGGUGGUUCUGAAUGGAAGGGCCAUCGCUCAACGGAUAAAAGGUACUCCGGGGAUAACAGGCUGAUACCGCCCAAGAGUUCAUAUCGACGGCGGUGUUUGGCACCUCGAUGUCGGCUCAUCACAUCCUGGGGCUGAAGUAGGUCCCAAGGGUAUGGCUGUUCGCCAUUUAAAGUGGUACGCGAGCUGGGUUUAGAACGUCGUGAGACAGUUCGGUCCCUAUCUGCCGUGGGCGCUGGAGAACUGAGGGGGGCUGCUCCUAGUACGAGAGGACCGGAGUGGACGCAUCACUGGUGUUCGGGUUGUCAUGCCAAUGGCACUGCCCGGUAGCUAAAUGCGGAAGAGAUAAGUGCUGAAAGCAUCUAAGCACGAAACUUGCCCCGAGAUGAGUUCUCCCUG
rnacentral:rRNA from 1 species